CGCAAAUGAAAUUUACGGGGCUCUUUUUAAAAAUAAUGUAAUUUAUGGAGGACCAAAAUAACAUUUUAUUUCUUCACAUAGUCACAAUUACUAGGGUUCUCUGUUCUCAUUGCAUUCGCCGCAACCUUUUGUGCAGAACAAUUCUAUAAGUACGGGCAUUCAUCUCUCAUUUAAACAAUUCAUUUUGGGAUUUAGGGUUUCUCUAGCCUUCUACUCAAUUACCCUUCGCAUAAAAUUCUUAUGGAAUCGAAUUCUUCUGUUUCUGAUUCGCGACGAUUUGUAUAUAUUUGGGGCGAGCUCUGUUUGGUGCUCGUAUGACUCAAGCGAAUCGAAAAAUCGUCGCAUAGAAACCUUACUUCGUUGAGAUUUUGGUUGAUAUCCACUAUUUCCGAAGGAGGCAUUCUCAUAUCCUAUCGCCUUGUGGAGCGGAAUCUCUGCAAUUAUCUCUUGGGAUUGGCCAUGAGAAUUACAUUCAUUAUUGUUCUUAAAGUUUAUCAAUUAAUUAUUUGAUGUGUUUUCUGUUUUUUUUUUUUUUUUUUUUUUUGGGAUUUAUGAGUAGAUUCAAAAUCUGUUGCGGCCUGCGAUGAAUUCACAGAACUUCAAUAUUUUUCUUAAUAACUAUCAAUUAUGUAUUCUAUUUCUUGUUAAAUUUAUUCUUUGCAUUCAAAAUCUGUUUUGGCCAGUGAUGAAAUCUGAUAAAUCAUACCAUCUUUCGGGACUGAAUGGCCUCAAGGCCUUGCUGUUAUUCUGCAAUUCUGAGGCCAAUUCUUUAAAAUUUAUAUUUUCCAAUACUCAAAUCUGAAUAAUUUUGCUUAUGAACGGUCAAGUGCUGUUUAAGGUUUGAAUUAUUGGCAGCACUUAACAUGAUCAUAAGCCAGAGAAAAAUUGAGCCGCCUUGUCUUUCAAGUCUUUUUUCUUGUACUCUUUGAGAGAAGGCUAUCCGCGUUGUGGCUAAUAUUUCCUUUACAUUAAUUUAUUAAUAAAAUGUGCUUGAACACAUAAGUAUCAUCUUUGUAAUAUUUGGUGGUUGUUUAGGCUUAGAUUGUCUGUUUUUUAUGCCUAACUGUUGUUUCGUACAUGAUUUUUUAUUGAUUAAGAUUGGGAUUUAUUUCGCACAUGUUUAAUUUUGAUUCAACAUGAUAUGAACAAAUCCGAUUGCUUAAUUAAAAGCUUGAAAUGUGGGUCAAGUAAAAUCAAGAUAUAUUUUUUAAAGAAAUUGUUCUCUUGUUGAUGAAAAUUUGAACAAGAUGAAAUGAGGAAUGAGGCUUCCAGGAUGUUUUUAGGAAUUUCGGCAAAUAAUUUAAAGGAUUUAGAAGCCUUCAAGGAAAGAAGCGUAUAAAAGCACAAUUGACUCUUCUCAGUAGAAUUUGUUGAAAAUUUUAUGAAGUUUGAAUUUUUGAUGAAUGAAUUGAAAUAUCUCUAGCAAUGAUUAGUUAUCUAUUGUUUGGAAAUGAAAAUUUAUUAUCAAUUCAUAGAUAUUCAUCAAUAUGCUUUGGACAAGUUCCAAUAAUUCAUGAAAUGUCUGAAAUUUUUCAUGAAUCAACACCAGAUUUCAAAUGAAAAAUUAAUCCCAUGGUUAUAAAUUUCUGUCAUGCGUAUGCAUGAUUUUCAAGUGAGCAAGAUAAGUCUUUUUUUCUAUUUGGCAUUUGAAUUGUAAUGAGCUAAAAGUCUGUGUUUUGUAAGAAAACAAAAUUUGUCGUUAAAGUUAAUAAUUAAUUUUGAUCACUUAUUUUAUAAAGCCUAUAAUUUUUUCUGACAUACAUUUCUCAUAAAAACGCUUAAAUAUAAUUAAAUAAAAAUAUAUUAUUUUAAAUUCAUCUAAUGAUAUUUAUUUUCAUUAAACUUUCUUGGAUGUUUGAAGGAAUUUGUAAAUUUUUAGCCAUUAAAAGGCUGAAACUUCAUCAAUUUGGACACUUGAACUUUAAAAACACUUGCAAAUGGAGGUUUCAAGAGAUUCAAAUGAUCAUAAAUUCUGAAAGGCCAGGUUGUGAAGAAAGAACAAUGCCCUGCGUACUGGGCAUUGUUUUACAGGAGGUUUACAAGCCCUCUCAUUGUAGUUGCAGGUUAGUCUCAUUAACCUGCAUUAAAAAAAAAAAAAAUUGUGCUGGUCCCAUCCUUGUGUCUGCUUUGAUUGACUUCUGUAAAUGCCCUCCUGUACGUGAAGCAUCUCUCGGGAAAAAUUAAGAAUUGAUUUCGCAUGUGAAAGAUCUAAUUCAUAUAGGUGUAAGAAUAUAAAAAUGUGAGAAAUAGAUUUCAAUUUUAAUAAACAUGUUAAAGGAUCACGUGAGAUUUUAUGCACAUUGAAAAAAAAUUAUGACAUUAAAUUGAGAAACCUGUACGACGAAAUACAAAAGUUUAAACUCAAAUAAUAAGCAAGAGUGACACAAAUGCAAAAACUAAUGAAUAAAUUUGUUGAGAAUAAGUACAUAGAGAUUUGUUUUGGGCACAUCCAUAUCUAGUAAGGAAUUGCCUACUUUUGUUGGAAAUAGUAGGUUUCACUUUCACUAAUUUAAUAUUUUCAGUUGCAC
rnacentral:lncRNA from 1 species